AUUGUCUGUUUCCUUUACUGGCUGUUGUAUGUGACUUGAUGUUGUCUGUUUCCUUUACUGUCUGUUAUAUGUGACUUGAUAUUGUCUGUUUCUUUGUAUGGAACAGGACAUUGAUUGUUGAAAUCUCCUUUACUUUGUGACUUUAAACAGAAGAGUUCCUUUGUUUGUGACCUGUACUUGGCUGAUUUAGGAAACUUGAUAGUGACUAUCAAUGUGUAUCAGCACAAUGUCACCAGAGCCUUCUCGUCGCCUGUAUUACUCUUUGUUGAUUGUUGGAUAAUGCAGGGAAUGCGGGAUACAUAAGGAGGAUCUUGGAUGUGCCGGAGAUGUACCAGGAAGCGGAGAGUUAAGUGGCUACAGAGCAGCACCAGCCAAGCCUUUGUCCCAUAAAGGCCAAGUGUAUAUGUACACAAUUCCCAGCAUAAUAUUGAUGAGAAAUAUUGCUCUUUGUCGAAGUUGUGGUGACUAACUAACGAUACCUGCCUCUUCACUCGCGCUGAUGUUGCUGCGCCUGCAAUGGGAUCAAUACCAAGCUUUAACAGAGGCACAAUAACAGGCAGGCUCCACUACAAACUCUAGCUACAAUAAAUCAGUUAAUUUGUGGACAAUCUCAACUCGUACAAUGAAAAGCUUUUACAUCGCCUGAUCUAUGACUGAUUAAUCAAAUUACCUAAAAGUCGAAAAUAUGCCAAUAACGCAUGGGAAACCGUGGCAUAUUACAGGAUGAUUCACAACUUACAAAAUCGGCAGCAUGUAAUGUGGAAAUGAUUGAUUGAGUCAAUUGAUAAUUACUAUUGUUCUGCUUUUGCUGGCUCAGCUAUACGUGAAAGAGGGAGGAAAAGGGAUGAACCACUUAACGCAUGAAAAUACAACAUGAAGAGCUAAUAAAUGUCAGCUAACCAGUGUGACAAGACUUGAUAUUGGGGAGAACUGUUAACACCGCUUGUUAUCACCUCGUUGGCCAAUCCCAAACUGGGGAUGUAUCCUAAACUAACGAGGUAGUAUUAAGUGAUGUUUGCCUCCACAAAUCAUCACUAUAAACAAACAGUGAAAUAUUUUUAUAACAAAUUUGAGAAAUUUGUAAUUGGUUUGAUAAUGAUUGUUUCUUGCUGAUGUAGAAAAGUCAUAUAACUGACGAAUUGCAGCUCACAAAAACACCAAGUGCAAUAUCCAACCUAGUUCAUUAUAUAUAACUGCAUUACUUAAAGAAUUAAUCUAUACAAGUGACUUCUUCAGUGAUUCAAGACUUGUUCAUGUCAAAUUAUAGAAAAUUUUGUCAGAUUUAAGCUUAAGAGACCCAAAUUAUUUGUUCAAGUGUUUUUUUUAUGUGUCUAACUGAAACAGCCAUGGCAAGGAAAUGAGGUGUAAACAUGUUCAAAAGUUGGGGUGUAAUCAUCUUUAUUCUACACCAAAUAGAGGAACAAGUUUUAUUAAUAUUUAUUCAAGUUUCUUGUUGGCCUGGAUGGCAGUGCACAGGAGGUAUUAAUAUGGGUGUAAACUGGAGUACCCAAAACAAAUGGCUGGACAAGUAACCUAAUUAUCUUUUCAUACCCAAAUAUGGAAUCAUAUCCUAAUCAUCUUGGUUAAAGCCGAGUUCACUAGUCUAUCCUCCACACCACCCGACUACCUUAGCUGUCUAGAUCGAUCUCCUCUUAUCAAAACAUAGUGUUGGGGCGGACACAGAUACCCUCCCAGCUACAGAUCUAGAGUGGUCAAGUAUGAUCUUUGACCCUUUAACCUUGACCAAUGACCAUAAUGUAUUCAGGUGUAGAACUUGGUGUUUCAAUACUGUUGUGUACAUAUGAACUGAAUCCAAUGAGGUAUUCAAGAGUUAUCUUUUACACCAGCUGUUUACUACAGACACAGGUAUGCAGACAAUGACAAAGUAAUUACUAUGUACCCCCGAGCCCUCAACUAAGGGAAGGGUAUCAAAUGAUGAUCUCCAAAACUGUGAUUAAGUUUUUAAGAUUUUUUUUUUUAUCUCUUAGAUAAUUAAAUUCAAUCUUGUUUAUGAUUUAAUUUGAUGGAUAUCAAUAUCAAACUCAGGUAUGAGGAGAAACCCAAGAAAUCCUCACUGACAGGAAGGUUUAUGAUAAAAUAAUUACAUAAUACUACUACAAGUUGCUUCUGUCAGAUUGUUUUUUCGAGGGAAUGCCGAGCUUGUAUCUUUUUUCCAAAUCAGCUACUGGGAGACCAAUUAUCUGUAAACAGAUAAGGUCUGUAUAGGAACAUCUUUGGCUUUUUUUUUAAACUAAGCAGACAGUGGAUUAUCAAUGAUGCAAUUUAGAACAACAACAUAUUAUUCCAAACUAUUUGGACUGAAGGUCAAAGGUCAAGGUUGCUUAUAUUUAGCUAUUUGAAAAAUAAGUGUUUUUUUCUCACAGGGUUAAUGUAUAUAUGCAUGUAAAAUUGUAACAUAUUGCUUGUUUGCUUAGAAUGACUGUUAAGUGGGAUCAACUACAUGUAUUAAGUUUACUUUGACUUCCUCCUCAGGAUUAGUGCUUAGGGGAACUUUUUUUGUUCCGUGAUGAUCCGGCCUUUACACAGUGGUUAAUUGGAUGACCAAGUGUUAAUUUAGCCGAUAAAAUGUCUGUUUAUAAUGUCACUGUAUUAUGUCACAAACUUUCAAGGGUGUGAAUACUGCCAUUGAUUUAGUAUUACUAUGACUCUGAACUUUUGUCAGCAUUCCAAGAAAUCCUUUGUCUACAUAUAAAAAAAAUCAGUAUUGGUGAAAAAAAUAUGACUGAGGUUUGAUGUUGGCCCUAAUUUUCCGUUUUGUUUGUGACCUAAAAAGAAAUCAAAAUAUUUUCCAGUUCCAAAAUAAACAGUGCUUGUAUACUUUGAAUUGACGUCGCUGUUACAGCACGCAAAGCACUGUCUGAGACUAUCUCCUGAAAACACUUUCAUUUCUUCAUGACCUUGUGUGUGUAUGCUGCUUGUCAGAGAAGGUCACAUUUGAAAUACCUUCAUAGGCAUGGUAGAAACGUUUGGCAGAUAUAACUCAAUGUAGAACUGAGUGCUGUGCCAGUCAGCGAGGAAGUGAGGCAAUGCUAGCCUAUGAAAUAUUCAUGACAUCAACUAACAUGAUAGAGGUCUGUGUAUGAAAAAAUAUCAAUUAUUGAAAAUAAGAGUGUAGACAGAAAAUCAAAGGUCGUUGCUAGGCAUCAAGCAUGAUUCUUAACUGUAAUGCAAUCUUGACAAUCAACUGCAGGAUGUUUUUGUUUUUCCCAAACACAUUUGUUUUCGGCUGUGUGUUUACAUGUUAUACUCAGAAGUUACGAGAUUGUCAGAAGAAUACAAAAAGGAAUCUUAUAAAAAAUUUAAAUAUUG